AUUGAACGCUGGCGGCAUGCCUUACACAUGCAAGUCGAACGGCAGCGGGCCUUCGGGUGCCGGCGAGUGGCGAACGGUGAGUAAUGCAUCGGAACGUGCCAUUGAGUGGGGGAUAACGUAGCGAAAGUUACGCUAAUACCGCAUAUUCUGUGAGCAGGAAAGCAGGGGACCGCAAGGCCUUGCGCUCUUUGAGCGGCCGAUGUCAGAUUAGCUAGUUGGUGAGGUAAAGGCUUACCAAGGCGACGAUCUGUAGCGGGUCUGAGAGGAUGAUCCGCCACACUGGAACUGAGACACGGUCCAGACUCCUACGGGAGGCAGCAGUGGGGAAUUUUGGACAAUGGGCGCAAGCCUGAUCCAGCCAUGCCGCGUGAGUGAAGAAGGCCUCGGUGU
rnacentral:rRNA from 1 species